UUUCUUUGAGAUACAUCCAAAAGUAAAUGAAGCCCACAAUAUGGUAUGGGCCGGGCUAGCAAUAGAACAGCAGACGACAAAAAUACGGAACAGACUCAAUAUUAUACGUAUAUUGAAGGACACAAAAGGAGAACAGAGCAGUAUCCAGAACAGUUCGACUCCUGUGUGGAGCGAAUUCCUGCAAUUCUCUCGCUAAGUAGGCCUAAAAAUUCCUCCGAGUGGCGUUUUGAUGACCGUCGACCCUUUAUUGUUUUUUGGAAGCCCCGUCCCCUUCUCAAAGCUCUGCCAUCCCCGUCCUGUACUCCCUUGGAAAAGCUGGAUUUUUUCGACUGGAGGAGCAAUUCCGGCUUUAUCCAGUCGUGGCGAUGCCGGAUCCUGCGACGGCGUCGGACGCGAGCCACCAACGGCCGUGGACUCCCUCCCCGGCUGCGCUUCCGCGAAACCCACGGAGAAGGCCCGGACAAAAUUCUCGGAGCAGUACGCCCGCCGCUCCAGCACCUUUCCUCACCGCCGUCGCCAUCAAGGAUCAGUCGGGGGAUGAACAUCAAGAGGACUGAGCGAACGAUUGAUUAUGAGGAGUAAGUAGUUCUUUACUCAGUGAGAGGAAGGACUAUUAUCUAGUGGAGACAAGGUGCAUGGAUAUGUAUUUCCCGGCCCUCUACUGCUUUUCUGCUAGCCUUUCCCUCUUCUGUGUAUUGUUACCUAGCCUUUUCUGUACUGAACAUUGUUAUCUCCACGUAAAUGCUCGGUUCCAGCCAGCCACGAGGUCGGGAAGACGUGGCUUCCGGUGAAAAUCGCGCCUGACUGCGGUCUUGGCGGACGAUGGCGGCGUCUCAGACGUCGUUCCCUUCUGGAGGCAUCGUCGUUGCAGGUCACAUCAACCUGAUCGGGAAGUUCCGGGGGAAACCCUAGAUCUGGGUAUACCGGAUCGGACGAUGACGGUGCCUUCGGUAUCGUUCUCCCUCGUGGGGGCAUCGUUUCGGAGCAAGUGCUGGUUUGGAGGAGACAAGAGGAGGAGCGGUGUUUCCUCUGCUCCAUUGAUGACGGCGGUCUCGGCGGCGUGGCGCAGUGGAGACUCGGCGCCUGAUGAGCGGAGAAGGACUCGCGCAGGAGGGUGACGCUGCCUGGCGUCGUGGUGGCGUCGGCGGCAAUUAGACCGGGCAAGGUUGAUGCAGCAGUACAGCUCUGAAGAUGGAUUGGUGGCAGGUGGCUGCGGCGGCCUCAUACCCGGCAGGCGUCCUGGUUGAGAAGCACGCCUGACUGAUGGGUGCCCAUACCCGGCAGGCGUCCUGGUUGGGACCUCAAGUCUUAGAUGUUAGGUUUGGCUGCGAGGUCUGUUUGGUAUUAGGCCAAGACUUUCAGCGCCCCUACAUCAACUGGAUAGGGAUAGCGACAGAUGUUGCUUAGUUUGGUGGCUUUAGGCUUAUUGUUGUAUGACUCUGUAAGGUCUUGUGCCAAUAAUUAAUAAAAUGGCCGUAUGCAUCGUCCAGAUGCAGAGACCGGGGGUCGUCCUCCUUUUCUAAAAAAAACAUGCGGUGAAUUGUGAUUUUUAUUUCUCAUAGGGAUUCCGAUUUUAAUUGGUGAAAGGCCGAAAAGGAUAGGAAUGUCUCUUUACCAAGUUAGCCAGCAUUCACAAUGUAUUCAGCAAUCCACAGUACGGCUGAUGGCAUUUCUUGGAUAAUGAACCAACAGUAGUGAAGUUCUGAAGUAUUAUUCAACCUCAAUGUUCGGCUAGUAAUUAAUUUAGCAUAGAAAAGCUUGGCGGUUCUAGCGUAUUAACCUUAACAUUCAGCUAGUCAUUUCAAUUUGUAUUGCCAACAGAAGGGUGGUUCUACUAUUCUAAUUAACUCGAUGACACUGAUGAUAUACCAAACAACCACAUAUACCGCAUGGCUAUCUUUUAACGACCUGCAGUGGUUCAGAAUCCACCGAGUGUCUGUUGCUGGACUUGGCCAUUCUGUCUGAAACUGCAUGCAUGCUCUGUUUAUUGAGGUGACUCCAAGUUGAGUGAGCAAGCAGAGUAGAGAGAGAUCAGAUGACUAAUUCAAUUUAGUCUGAUCCUUGGACCAUGUCAUGUUAUGUUGUUAUGGCAAUGCGAUGUGUCUGUGUUGUUUUGUCAACACAAUCACAUUUAGUUUAGAUGCCGUUGCACUUGAUUUAUCUGGUAUAUUCAUUUGUCACAAUCACCUCCAGUUUAGUUUCAGGUUUCAGAUCACAAAACAAAUGAUCUGACCAAGGAGAGUUUUUUUAGCACAGGGAAAUCUGACUUACUGGCCGUUACCUGAAAAAAACUCCCUCACCACUAUCACUUCUCAAAUAGCAAGGGAGAUCUACCUAGCUUUUUGCCCUUUUCCACUGGAGCAAGUGCCACUCGGUGCUCACCACCACUUCUCUCAGAGCAAGGGACAAGGGAGAUCUAGCUAGCUUUUGCUCUGGAGCAAAGGGCUAACCAAGAUCCAUCUCUCAUCUCUCGGCCCCAUUCAAGUACCAGCUCAAGUGCGACUGAACCCUGCCACUACUUCCCAGAGAACAAGAGCAAUCUAUCUAGUUUUUGCUCUAGAACAAGGGCCAACCAAGACCCGUCUCUCAUCUCUGCGGUUGAUUUUCAAGUACCAGGUCAGGGGAGAAGGAACCCUGGAACAAAUGGCGGGGUUUCUGGAUGUUUUAGCAUCCAAUGUCAGCAACAUGCUCACCGACAGCCAGAUCUGUCUCUCGUCGCCAGUCCAUCGAAGAUACCUAACUGAUUCCAGUUCCACUACAGUACUAUACCUAUUUUUCUCUCUCUAAAAUUCAUGAUCACCUCAAUUUUGUGUGCAAGCCACAUUUUACCUUCAGAAGGAGUUCUCAACUUAGAAGGGAGGCAGCCGGUGACAAGGGAUCGUGGUUCUGUCGGUAUGGACAAAUCAUAAGGCGCGAGCCUCGGAGUUCUCCUCGUUAGCCUUAUGCUAAGUGAGUGCAACAAGGAAGCUCCAGGUAUGGUUUAUGCUAAGUGAGUUCUACGGGGUGGCCUUAUGCAAGUUCUGCUAUCUAUGGCACCCCCGGCCUCCAUGUAUGGCUUGGCCCUCCGCCACUCACUCAGCGUUUGUACCUCCAGAACU